GGAGUCGGCCAGACAGUCGCCGCCGGUGGCCUACAAGCCGCCGGGGGAGGAAAGUCCGGGCUCCACAGGGCAGAGUGCCAGGUAACGCCUGGGCGGCGUGAGCCGACGGCCAGUGCAGCAGAGAGCAGACCGCCUACGUCUUCGCAGGAAGACCGGUAAGGGUGAAAGGGUGCGGUAAGAGCGCACCGCGCGCCUGGUAACAGUGCGUGGCACGGUAAACCCCACUCGGAGCAAGACCAAAUAGGAACCCGUUGGCGUGGCCCGCGCUGGGUUCGGGUAGGUUGCUUGAGGAGCGUGGCGACGCGCUCCCUAGAGGAAUGACUGUCCACGACAGAACCCGGCUUAUCGGCCGGCUCCCUCC
rnacentral:RNase_P_RNA from 1 species